GUCCUUUUGAUUAUAAUUUAAGGUUAGAUCUGCCCAUUGAUUUAUUUAACGGCCGCAGUAUUUUGACUGUGCAAAGGUAGCAUAAUAAUUAGUUUUUUAAUUGAAAGCUAGAAUGAAUGAUUUGAUGAAAAAAAUUCUGUCUCUUUUUUAUUAUAUAUAAUUUUAUUUUUAAGUUAAAAAGCUUAAAUUUUAUUAAAAGACGAGAAGACCCUAUAGAGUUUAUAUAUAAAUAUAUGAUAUUUAUUUAUUUUAUUUUAUUUAUAUUAUAGAAUUAUAUUUUAUUGGGGUGAUAGACAAGUUUAUUAAACCUUUUUAUAAUAUAAACAAUGUUAAUUGGUUAAUUGAUCCUUUUAAGAUUAUUAGAUUAAAUUACCUUAGGGAUAACAGCGUAAUUUUUUUGGAGAGUUCAUAUCUAUAGAAAAGUUUG
rnacentral:rRNA from 1 species